CAGUUACAGGCACGUUGAUGGUAAAAUC
rnacentral:piRNA from 1 species